rnacentral:rRNA from 1 species
GGUAGUCAAGAUGAGAAUUCUAAGGUGAGCGAGCGAACUCUCGUUAAGGAACUCGGCAAAAUGACCCCGUAACUUCGGGAGAAGGGGUGCUCUUUAGGGUUAACGCCCAGAAGAGCCGCAGUGAAUAGGCCCAAGCGACUGUUUAUCAAAAACACAGGUCUCUGCUAAACCGUAAGGUGAUGUAUAGGGGCUGACGCCUGCCCGGUGCUGGAAGGUUAAGAGGAGUGGUUAGCUUCUGCGAAGCUACGAAUCGAAGCCCCAGUAAACGGCGGCCGUAACUAUAACGGUCCUAAGGUAGCGAAAUUCCUUGUCGGGUAAGUUCCGACCCGCACGAAAGGCGUAACGAUUUGGGCACUGUCUCAACGAGAGACUCGGUGAAAUCAUAGUACCUGUGAAGAUGCAGGUUACCCGCGACAGGACGGAAAGACCCCGUGGAGCUUUACUGUAGCCUGAUAUUGAAAUUCGGCACAGCUUGUACAGGAUAGGUAGGAGCCUUUGAAACGUGAGCGCUAGCUUACGUGGAGGCGCUGGUGGGAUACUACCCUAGCUGUGUUGGCUUUCUAACCCGCACCACUUAUCGUGGUGGGAGACAGUGUCAGGCGGGCAGUUUGACUGGGGCGGUCGCCUCCUAAAAGGUAACGGAGGCGCUCAAAGGUUCCCUCAGAAUGGUUGGAAAUCAUUCAUAGAGUGUAAAGGCAUAAGGGAGCUUGACUGCGAGACCUACAAGUCGAGCAGGGUCGAAAGACGGACUUAGUGAUCCGGUGGUUCCGCAUGGAAGGGCCAUCGCUCAACGGAUAAAAGCUACCCCGGGGAUAACAGGCUUAUCUCCCCCAAGAGUUCACAUCGACGGGGAGGUUUGGCACCUCGAUGUCGGCUCAUCGCAUCCUGGGGCUGUAGUCGGUCCCAAGGGUUGGGCUGUUCGCCCAUUAAAGCGGUACGCGAGCUGGGUUCAGAACGUCGUGAGACAGUUCGGUCCCUAUCCGUCGUGGGCGUAGGAAAUUUGAGAGGAGCUGUCCUUAGUACGAGAGGACCGGGAUGGACAUACCUCUGGUGUACCAGUUGUCGUGCCAACGGCAUAGCUGGGUAGCUAUGUGUGGACGGGAUAAGUGCUGAAAGCAUCUAAGCAUGAAGCCCCCCUCAAGAUGAGAUUUCCCAACUUCGGUUAUAAGAUCCCUCAAAGAUGAUGAGGUUAAUAGGUUCGAGGUGGAAGCAUGGUGACAUGUGGAGCUGACGAAUACUAA